AUUGCUGAUAACGUUAUUUGAAUGUUUACAUGUAAUAUUCGUCGCAUUUAUUUCUGUCAUCCAAAAAUUAUUUAGUUGAUUUGCAGAUUGUCUUAAACUCUGCAUUGAAUUCGUGUUUCCAUAUAUUAUGGAUCUGAUCGCUGUUGUCCGACGUAGUCAUUAUGAAGAAAGCACUAGGGAACGCCAACAACUAAACACGAGCAAUUCUCCAUGGGAAAAUGAGUCUGAUAUUGGGGUCACAGCGUGUGCUGACUGUGUCUCCUCAAAAUGUUAUAGCAUUUGCUUGUUAUGGAACACUGAAGAGUAGUACAGCAGGUCCAAGUGACCAAAGCAUGAAUGUUGUUGUUUGUGACGCUAAUACCCUAUGGGAUACUCAUAUUGUUAAGAGCUGUGUGGCACAAGUUACUGAACAUUCUGGAAUGGGACCAAUCUGGUCAUUACUUGCUUAUCAGUGAUACUGCGGGAAAAGCAGAAAUCUGGACAACACUCACACAUCUUUUGAAUGAAUGGACCAGAGUAGCUAACAUUUGCAUUCCAGAUGAGCCAAUCCAGGCUGGAAUGUUUUUCUUUAACGGAAAGAAAACAUUUUUAAAUUGCCAAAACCGGGAAAGUGUGUCAUAUCUGGACAAGUAUAUUCAAGUAGAUAUGAAACUAACCAUUCGCGGAUUCAAAGGUCGUCCUCUACAAGGUUUUCUUGUUGUUGGAAUGACUGGCCUUGUGCAAGCUUUUGUGAUGGGUGGUACGAAAGGAAAAACAACAAAUGUAGAAAUUCUUGGCGGAAUACGAUUAGCAUAUUCCUUUGUGGAUCUUGCCUGGAAAUAAAGAUGGAGAAAUAUUAGCGGUAGCAUGCACGGGGAUCCCUUUGGACCCGAUUGUAUAUUGCAAGCUUACCAUUCAAAAAGAUGACGGAGUGGAAUUCAGUUGCCUUCUUGAUGAAUAUCGUCUUCGUUCUGAAACAUUCACUGGACUUUUCCCCCUGCAGUCAGGAGCCAACGAAAUGCGUGUGUGCGGUGUGAAUUUCAGUUCACGAGAAGAUUCAUCGGGAAUAUUCCUAGUAGUAGAUGGAAUUAAUAGUGGAACUCUUCAGUAUUUGGGAGCUGUCAGAAGUUGAGCGAACGAUUCAUUCGCUUUUCUCCACUUUGGCUGCCAUGAGUCGCUUCCUGCAGUGGCAGUGUAUGUCCGUUUUCAAUUGAAACAGUCGAAUCACCUACGUCUGUCCGUCACGCAAUGUCUGGGUAAACGGCCAAGAAGCGGGUAGCCCUCCACAGCAUCAUUUAGUCAUCGCCACUGCAUGUGGAGAAUUAUUGUGCUUACAACGCGAGAGUAUGAAGCAGGUGGGACACCUCAGCAUUGUGGAUAGGUCGAAAUGUGAAAGCACCCAAUCGAAAACGGUCAGCUCGGCGUGUUUCACUGCCACUGGCAAUGCAUUGAUUGCCUUCGAUAACACUGCGACAAUGUUUGUCUGCAAACUUUCUUCCAUCACAGAUCCUGGAGCUGCAGCUACCAUUCCUUAUGCAUGAAUGUCAUUGGAGUAUUGUCUGCUGACUGGUAUCGACUAUUGGGACGUUGCUUGGAACCUGUUUUGAUCCGGCCGUUGUGGAGCUCAUCUGUGAGCGCUAGAGUAAUUUAGAGUUUGCCGGCACACGUGUAUUAUUACUUCUUAAGUAUAUUGGUAGCUAUACAACCCUGCAUUUAAUCUUGUUUGCGAGUAAGCGAGUAUAAGCGAUUUGUGUUUGUUUUUUCUGUGUUAUUAUUAAUGAUGUGAUGCGAAAGUUGAUACUCUGAACUUGUUAACCUUGGCGGACGUCCAUUUAAGAAAAAAUGUUUUCUCAGUA
rnacentral:lncRNA from 1 species